UACGGGGGGGGCAAGCGUUGUUCGGAAUUACUGGGCGUAAAGCGCGCGUAGGCGGCUUUUCAAGUCAGACGUGAAAGCCUCAGGCUUAACCUGGGAACUGCGUUUGAUACUGUUAAGCUAGAGUGUGGAAGGGGCUACUGGAAUUCCGUGUGUAGCGGUGAAAUGCGUAGAUAUCGGGAAGAACACCCGUGGCGAAGGCGGUUCUCUGGGACGGUACUGACGCUGAGACGCGAAAGCGUGGGGAGCGAACAGG
rnacentral:rRNA from 1 species